AACGAACGCUGGCGGCAGGCCUAACACAUGCAAGUCGAACGAACCCUUCGGGGUUAGAGGCGCACGGGUGCGUAACGCGUGGGAAUCUGCCCUUGGCUUCGGAAUAACAGUUAGAAAUGACUGCUAAUACCGGAUGAUGUCUUCGGACCAAAGAUUUAUCGGCCAGGGAUGAGCCCGCGUAGGAUUAGGUAGUUGGUGGGGUAAAGGCCUACCAAGCCGACGAUCCUUAGCUGGUCUGAGAGGAUGAUCAGCCACACUGGGACUGAGACACGGCCCAGACUCCUACGGGAGGCAGCAGUGGGGAAUAUUGGACAAUGGGCGCAAGCCUGAUCCAGCAAUGCCGCGUGAGUGAUGAAGGCCUUAGGGUCGUAAAGCUCUUUUACCCGGGAUGAUAAUGACAGUACCGGGAGAAUAAGCUCCGGCUAACUCCGUGCCAGCCGCCGCGGUAA
rnacentral:rRNA from 1 species